UACAGAGGGUGCGAGCGUUGUCCGGAAUUACUGGGCGUAAAGGGCGCGUAGGUGGCGCGACAAGUCAGUGGUGAAAGUUCGACGCUUAACGUCGAAUCGGCCACUGAUACUGUUGGGCUUGAGCACUGUAGAGGCUAAUGGAAUUCCGGGUGUAGCGGUGGAAUGCGUAGAGAUCCGGAAGAACACCGGUGGCGAAGGCGGUUAGCUGGGCAGUUGCUGACACUGAGGCGCGACAGCGUGGGGAGCAAACAGG
rnacentral:rRNA from 1 species